AAUUCACAUCCUUGUUUUCCAGUGAGCCCCCUCCCCCAAAUGUACGCCAGACACUGAAUACAUGACAGCAGACUGCCUCUUUCUCUCUUUCGGACACUGGGCCAUGAGAGGAUGUCCUGCAGGACCAAGGGGAUACAAAGGCUGCCCUAAGAGGGCUGGGGGCAGACCCUGAAGCUGAGACAGGUCUACAGCCUGAGGGAACAUGCCUGUUCAUGCAGAGAAAGAACAAAAGCUCAGUAACUACCGUUUUCAACAAAGAAAGGUAUGAGCAAAGAACAAGUGUAAUUUCUCAUGUCCAGCAAAGAUGAUUGAUUUUCUAGGCCUUUUAGAGAUCUACUGAAGUCACACAAACCAACCUGCUUGUAAUAAUGUGGGUCCGAGCUGUUGAGGCUGGAUACCCUGAGCCAGCAUCCUCUGCAUCACACCGGGAUGAAGCUGGGGUGGAGGUCUGACCAACGGGACGUGGGGAAGCAGAGGGACUGAAUACAUCUGGGGUCUGGAGAAGGGAGAAGAGGGCCCUGGGGAUAACAUAGGAGGAGUGUGGCGGCCAGUUGUUGAAGGAGGCCUGGGUCGGUCUGGGUCUUUACUGUGACGAUUCUGAGCGGGAUUGGGAGUGGAGCAUGCCUUUACCCCACCGGUCUGAAGACCACUGGUGUCCACAUCUUCCAGAAAGGAACUGGGGGAUGGAGGCCCAUCUAUAAAACGAAAGGAGAUGGUUUUGGGUAAUUAAAAAGAUAAAAGAAUGAGACAGCCAUCUUUUUUUCUAGGGCUACAUGAUUUUAGAAUUGAUGUGGCAACAUGCACAUCCACACAAUGUCAAGUAUAGGGAUCGCAGUUGAUCCGCACCAAGGUUUUAAAUUGUCAGAGUAAUUGCAAAGAUUAACUAUCUUGGAGUGAAAGUUUACCAUUUUCACAUCCUGUCAGUUAAAACAAAUGAUUUUAAAACAUUUGAGCCCACAAAAACACGAAGAAACUGACACAUGAAUGCAAACAAUUGAGUACUGUAAAAGUACUGAACUGUCCCUGAAUACUGUAAGACUAAAGACUUUCAUCUUUGUUCUAUUGUGUUUUCCUAAGUUUGCAAUUUAGUUUAUUUUCGAUGCAGAUGCACUCCCUAACGAAAUCACCACAAUCAUUCAAGAAUGACUUCUUUCCAAUUAGAGGCAUUCAUCUUGUAAUAAUGUGGGUCUGAGCUGUUUCCAUAUCACAAUCUAUAUAAUCAAAGAAAAAACAUAUUCCAAAGUGUUUCUCCUCAAUACCAUGUAGCCCUAUUCAUUUAUUUAUUUUACACCCUGCUCUGGUCUUUUGGUGUAUGUACAUCAUUUCAUACCCUCCUGUGAGUUAUGGGAGUUCACAGUCUCCUUGCUUCCUGGUCUACUCCCAGGAUCAUCUCGACCUUUCUCUUUUGACUCGUACAUUUUUUUGAUCACGGACGUGGGAGUGAAGGAUGGAGACAACUGCAGCAGAGGGGAAAAAUUAAAAUUACUUUAGUUCUCAUUGGUCAUUUGGUCAAACGAAGGAAAUUUAAAGUACUUCAUGACAUUAAGUGUUUCUAUAAAGCCAUAAGUUGAUAUAAAUGCAUCAGAUGUAUGAUCAAAUGCCUUCAUGACAGUUAAAUUAAAUGCCACUGAUUUGACUGACCACACUAGUAACUGUAUUGCCAGGGGAUGUCCGGUCAGGAAGGGGAGGCCCAGGUGAACGGUUCAUCCUGGUUUGUCUACAAAACAGGAGAUACA